GAUGAAGAACGCAGCGAAAUGCGAUAAGUAAUGUGAAUUGCAGAAUUCAGUGAAUCAUCGAAUCUUUGAACGCAUCUUGCGCUCCUUGGUAUUCUGAGGAGCAUGCCUGUUUGAGUGUCAUUAAAUUCUCAACUACACUGACUUUGAAUUGGUGUGGCUUGGAUUUGGGGAGAAAAUUGUUGUGGGCUUUUUGUAUAGUCUGCUCCCCUGAAAUUGAUUAGCGGUACCUUUGUGGAACUGUCUACAGGUGUGAUAAUUAUCUACAUCUUAGACAUCUGCUGGAAUGCUGCUUUCUAAACCUUACUUGUAUUGACAAUCUUGACCUCAAAUCAGGUAGGACUACCCGCUGAACUUAAGCAUAUCAAUAAGCGGAGGA
rnacentral:misc_RNA from 1 species